rnacentral:rRNA from 3 species
GCAGCCUGAUCCAGCCAUACCGCGUGGGUGAAGAAGGCCUUCGGGUUGUAAAGCCCUUUUGUUGGGAAAGAAAAGCAAUCGAUUAAUACUCGGUUGUUCUGACGGUACCCAAAGAAUAAGCACCGGCUAACUUCGUGCCAGCAGCCGCGGUAAUACGAAGGGUGCAAGCGUUACUCGGAAUUACUGGGCGUAAAGCGUGCGUAGGUGGUUGUUUAAGUCUGUUGUGAAAGCCCUGGGCUCAACCUGGGAAUUGCAGUGGAUACUGGGCAACUAGAGUGUGGUAGAGGGUAGUGGAAUUCCCGGUGUAGCAGUGAAAUGCGUAGAGAUCGGGAGGAACAUCCAUGGCGAAGGCAGCUACCUGGACCAACACUGACACUGAGGCACGAAAGCGUGGGGAGCAAACAGGAUUAGAUACCCUGGUAGUCCACGCCCUAAACGAUGCGAACUGGAUGUUGGGUGCAAUUUGGCACGCAGUAUCGAAGCUAACGCGUUAAGUUCGCCGCCUGGGGAGUACGGUCGCAAGACUGAAACUCAAAGGAAUUGACGGGGGCCCGCACAAGCGGUGGAGUAUGUGGUUUAAUUCGAUGCAACGCGAAGAACCUUACCUGGUCUUGACAUGUCGAGAACUUUCCAGA